rnacentral:lncRNA from 10 species
UUUUCUUCUCCCUUGUCCCCUGCACCUGGCAGAACCUCUGCUCAAUGGAAGAUAAAGCGAUAAGAUGGGGAUGUGGCCAGUGCUAGUAAAAGACCCCUUUUAAUCGCUCACAUUUUUGGCACUUGCUAUGUGCUAGACACUGGAUUAAGCAGCUAACCUGCAUUAUUUUGCUUAACUCGGUCAGUGUUUCAUACAGCAGAUAGUAGCGCUAUUCUCAUUUGAUAGACGCAGAAAGUGAGCCUCAGAGAGGUUAGAUAAGUGGCCCAGGCUCCUCCGUGAGUAGGUAAUGGCCGGGGUUCAUCCCAGGUCUGACUGAAGAGUCCAUAUUCUUUACAUCUUUGCCUCACUGCCUCUUCAUGUAAGCUCUGGACCUGCCAUCAUAAGACAAAUGGGAAGAGGUGUCCUACCUUCCUAAAGGCAUUUUCCAAAGUGAUUUCUGAAGAUAUCUGAUAUGGGCAACUUUCCAGAAUUAGUUCAGUUGUUAAAGGUUUCACGGAUGAAUAAAUGGUGUGGGGGAUGGGGGUUGAGAAGAGGUCAGAAGGAGAGACAGCGUGGAGAAUGAUUUCCAAGGCUGGAUCUUUUCUUUAUUUGAUUCUAGUAAAUUUUAACGAGGCCCUUAAUAAAAUCCCAGUGCUUAGCAGAGCCUCCACAUUUACAAGUUGCCAGACCUGGGGCGGAAGAAGGGAAGUUGGAAUCCUGGCGCUCAGCUUAGUCCUGCUGACCUUUCACAGUUCAGGCGAGCCAGGCUUGUAAGAUUGAGCACUGCACUCUGAGCAGAGCACUCCUGCCCAGAUCAAGUGGCCAGAAUCCUCACCCCAACACAAGGCUGGUCCCAUCUCCUUCGAGGUGGCAUCCUUCAACGGGCACACCUGAAGUGGAUGGCUGCCAGUUGGUGAGACACUGGAAGGAAAUACACACAGUUAUCACAGGUCAGCAGAGCUUCAUGCCAUUUUGCUUCAGGAUUAUUACAAAAUAAAGUCUUCUAGGCAAUCAUCAAAA